AGUGAACGCUGGCGGUAGGCCUAACACAUGCAAGUCGAACGGCAGCACAGUAAGAGCUUGCUCUUACGGGUGGCGAGUGGCGGACGGGUGAGGAAUACAUCGGAAUCUACUUUUUCGUGGGGGAUAACGUAGGGAAACUUACGCUAAUACCGCAUACGACCUACGGGUGAAAGCAGGGGAUCUUCGGACCUUGCGCGAUUGAAUGAGCCGAUGUCGGAUUAGCUAGUUGGCGGGGUAAAGGCCCACCAAGGCGACGAUCCGUAGCUGGUCUGAGAGGAUGAUCAGCCACACUGGAACUGAGACACGGUCCAGACUCCUACGGGAGGCAGCAGUGGCGAAUAUUCGACAAUGGGCGACAGCCUGAUCCAGCCAUACCGCGUAGGUGAAGAAGGCCUUCGGGUUGUAAAGCCCUUUUGUUGGGAAAGAAAAGCAGCAGGUUAAUACCCCGCUGUUCUGACGGUACCCAAAGAAUAAGCACCGGCUAACUUCGUG
rnacentral:rRNA from 1 species